CCCCCCUUCCUCCUCCUCCUUUUUCCUCCCCCCUCCCCCAGCGUCUGGGCUGAGUGAUCAAAAUAGAGGAAGAUGGUUGUCGCCGCAAUCCAGGGCUUUGCAAGGCGCGGUUUAAUGGGCCGCCUGUCAGCUUCCUGCUCGCAGGAGGAGGUGACAAGCCGAGCGAGCCGGGAAGAGCCAGAGGCCCGGCGGGCUGCACCCCGGGCCCGGGCCCCCGGCUCCCCACCUCCCCUGGGGCGCGCCUUCUACAACGCGCGGUGCAGACGCCAAAACGGACAAGGGCUGCUUUUUCCCUCCUCCCCCCACCCCACUUUAAAACAAAGCAGCGAUUCAUUCCCUCCCCGAACUGCGCGGUCGGGUGGGAUGGGCAGGCGAGAAGGCGGUUUUCCUAGCCCCGGUCUGCGGGUUCCUCCCUGAAACGCGGUGUCAGAUGGUUACUGAUUAAUAUUUUGGAGAGGCCGCGGCGGCGGGCAGCGGGUUGUGGAGAGCUGCUGCCCGAGCCCCUUCGACCUGCCAGUACCUUGGCCCUGCCCGGGACCUCCGGACUCCCCAGUAGCUGAAGGACGGACACCUGGCCCCGCACGGGCCCUGGAGGCACCAGCCCAGGCUCUGUCUCCUCUGACUGACUUCUGCCGGCUGGCAGGAAAACCUCCCCCUCACCCCUGCUCAACUUUGCCUCACGUCCCAUUUGCCAGAAGGGGGUCACGUGACUGCACUUACAUGGCUGGCUGGUCAGAGCAGGUGAAUUUCAUGACCGUCUCCAUCCAGUCGGGGCUCAGCCCCUGGCCUGAAGAAUUGCGGCGGCUGCCUUUGGACAAUUCAGUCUGCCAAGCUGUCCCUGCGAAGGCCCAGCCAGGCUGCGGAGGGAGGGAGCCCUGGGCCUCCGCUUCCCGGGGGCCAGGUUUCCUCAUCUGUAAAAUGGGGCUGAAUAUACCACCUUUCAGAGGUGAUGUCCGGUACCUGGAGUGCAGGACAUGAUGCUGAAACAAGGGGAUUCAGGGGAGUGGGGCACUGCCGGCCCUCCCUUCCCUCUCAGCCCCCUGCC